GUCUACGGCCAUACCACCCUGAACGCGCCCGAUCUCGUCUGAUCUCGGAAGCUAAGCAGGGUCGGGCCUGGUUAGUACUUGGAUGGGAGAAAUGUCUAUGAUAUAUUUA
rnacentral:rRNA from 1 species